GAAAUGCGAUAAGUAAUGUGAAUUGCAGAAUUCAGUGAAUCAUCGAAUCUUUGAACGCACAUUGCGCCCGUCAGCAUUCUGGCGGGCAUGCCUGUUCGAGCGUCAUUUCAACCCUCAGGACCCCCCUUUCGCGGGGAGGGACCUGGCGUUGGGGAUCGGCCCGCCCCCCGCGGCGGCGCCGUCCCCGAAAUCUAGUGGCGGUCUCGCUGUAGCCUCCCCUGCGUAGUAGUUACAACCUCGCAUCGGAGCGCGGCGCGGCCACGCCGUAAAACCCCCGACUUUCUGAACGUUGACCUCGGAUCAGGUAGGAAUACCCGCUGAACUUAAGC
rnacentral:misc_RNA from 1 species